rnacentral:lncRNA from 1 species
CAGCCUGAAGACCCGGGAGGGAAAAAUGUGGCACUGCUCUUGCAAGACAAGGAACCCGUGGCUCAGCACCACCUGCCAUAACUGCACACUGGCACAGCUUCUAGCAAUACCCACCAAGCGUCCACUGAGGAACUUACGGUAUUUGCCAACUUUGGCAAAGGAUAAGAUAAUGUUGUGGAAAAUACCAUACUCUGCGGCAGUUUUAGGUAUGGCUGCAGACACUGCCACAUCCCGAGACAGAUCGCCCUGAGCUCUUCUAAUAAGAGACAACUGCUGGGCUACUGUCUGGUGAAUAAUCGAAAUUGCCUGUUGCCAGGGCAUGUGACCCACUGUGACUCUCCUGGAGAGCAGCAAUCAAGACUAAAGUAUUAGUUCCUGGAGCUGCAGGAGACAUUCAGAGUGGCAUCUGUUCUCACUGGUUGGCAGCAGAAUUGGUUCAUUUCAGCCUGCAAUCCUCUUCCAGUAAAUCCUCUUCCAGUAAAUCCUCUUCUCCACCCCCAUUUACCUAUAAGACCUCCUCCUCCCUCUCCACUUCCUCCCUCUCCCUCUUUCCCUUCCCCUUUCCCUCCCUCCUUUUUCUCUUCCCUUCUUCUCUCUCUCUCUUUCUCUGCCUCCCUCUCUCCUUCCCUCUCCCACCUUCCUCCUUCCUUCUCUCUCU